UCGCAACGAGAAGGGGAAGAGGGGCAGACCAGAGGAACGGCCACGAACGAUAGCACAUCAAUGUCGACGAGACCGACAGGGGCAAAACGAUGCCCAACCGACGUAAAAACGAGAUGGCCCGAACGAAACGCGUAAUCGACGGGCGGCCAAACGCGUAAUCGACGGGCGGCCAAACGCGUAAUCGACGUACAACACACAGGGAUGGGGGAAUAGUCAUAACACCC